GCUCUGUUUUUGUCAACUAUUGCCCCCUAUAUUGGGGGUGCCGGUUCGCCGGCUAUGGAAAUAAAUUGCCGCCGCAAUAAACCAUUCGGACCCGGGGGCAGCACCCGGCGCCUCCACCCAAGCCCGCCGCAAAUGGCAUCGCCUUAAACGAAACGGCGCGGGCUUCGGCGGGGGCGAAACAGGAUCGACGAGGGCGUAAAGGGCGUGUUUUUUCUCGGUAUUGUUCCGCCGUUAUCGGGCUAUGCAAUAGUUGCAAACGACAACUAUGCUCCGGUUGCUCAGGCCGCGUAAGCGGUUUGAAAAACCAAGUCUAAAGUCCUAGUGGGUUAAGCUCCGCUAGGCGGGGUUCGGAGGCACCUGGCAACAGAAGCCUCCACU
rnacentral:tmRNA from 1 species